AAAGACAGGAAGUGGAAACACGUUGUGGUUUAAUGUCUCUGCACUGAAAGGAAAUCUGCAGUUUGAUCAGUGCUUUUACAGACGAGAGACAAUGGAGAAGAUCAUGCUCUUUUGUGUUUUUUCAUACUUGAUUGUUCAGAUCAGCUCCAGCGAUGCUUCAGAACAUAAUGUGACUCUGUUAAGAUUUCAGCUGAAUGAAAGCAUCACUCUGAACUGCAGCAUGACAGACAAACAUGUAAUAGCCUGGUAUCACCAGAAUCCUGAAUCUGGACAACUAACACUGCUGAUAUUUGCCUUCGCCAUGGGCAGGAUAAGAGAGCUAGUUUCAAACCGUCAAAACACACGUGUAAUAGUUAAAGCAGACAGAAGUAGAAACACAGCCUCGCUAGAUAUUACUGGACUAAUGGAGUCAGAUUCAGGUCUUUAUUUCUGUGGAACAAGAUCAGUGAAUUCAGACAUGCAGUUUGAGAAACCCAUCAGACUACAGAUCGAGGACAGAGAAGACAAAGUUCAGUCCGUCACAGAUCCUCCAGAGGAUGACAUCACAGAUGAGAGCGGAGAUCAUUCUUGUUUCUCAGUUUAUUUCAGGAACUCUCUGUAUUUUUUUUAUUGGUUAUGCAAUUUGAAUAUGAUGUGGAUUCUUCAUAGAACCAUCAAAUCAAAUUAAAAACUUUUUAAAGAGUGUAACUGUUUAUAGCAUCGUGAUUGUCACAUUAUUACAGAAAGUGCUUCACAGAUGUAAUUUCAGCAUGAUUUCAUCACAGUUCAAUCUCAGCACAAUCGAUCAGAAUCUGUCUGACUUGAUUCUGUUGUUUAAUGAAAGCUGGUUUCUGAAUGUUUUCUGUCUGUCUGUAGAUGAAGUGACGCUGACGGAGCGUGUGCUGAUGUUCAGUGGUGUUGGUUUGGCUGUGUUUCUGUGUUUUCUGGUUAUAAUCAUUGCAGGAAGAAACGUUUACUGUCAUGGUUGGCGGAAAGGAUGGACCGCAGCCGAACAUGCUGGUCUGAAUGUUCAAAACUCACCUAAAUGACAUUUGUGAGCUUUAUAUUUUCACAAUAAUCAGCAUUCAUACUUUACACCAGACUCACCGAUUUGAUUCAGAUGUGUUUCUGUCGGCCAGAUCUCAUAGACGUCUGUUUUAUCUGUUCAUGGCACAAACAUUUCUGAACAAAUAAUCAGCAGUAAAACUAAGAAAUCACGUCACGGUCAUAUUUUUGAUGAAAAAUUAUAGAAAUGAUCAUUCUUUGUAAAUGUGAUUCAUUUAUUAUGAUCACUGUAUCACUUAUUAUUGUAAAACUGAUACAACAUCAAUGCUGUUUUAAAUCUCUAAUUAAACUACAAAAAUGGGUAGAUAAAUUAGAGAAACUCAUUUGUGAUUCUCCCAUCCUUCAGAAGGAGCUCUCCUCUGAAUUUUGAACUCUGUCCACUUCCUGUUUCCUGCCACAUUACCACAUUACCACAGUUCCUGUUACCAUGUAUUUAAGCCAUGUGUUUCCACUACCAUUUUGUGAAGUAUUGCCAUUUCCUCUGCUUUACUAAGAAUUCUUCUAUGAGAUUUCUAUUGUCUAUUGUCAUGACCAUUGCUUUUGUUCUCCUGACUCCCGUUUCUGGAUUACUGUUUUGGAUUUAUCUGCAAUUGCAUAUUUUCUCCAUACUCUGACUCAUGCCAGUGACCUGACUUGGAGAUAUGAUUGUUAUUAGUACUUUGGGCACAGAUAAUUGAAUAA